rnacentral:lncRNA from 1 species
UUUUUGUUGUGAGAUAGGAUUGCGAGAAAGGUAAAGUAGGUUUAAAACUUUUGAAGGGUAUAAAGAAAAUUUUAUAGAAAGUAACUAAAAGAAAAAAAGUACUUUUGCAGCAUUUUUUUAAAAUUAUAAUGUAUAGAAACUAAAUUUAAAAUUUUUAAUCAGUUUAUUUCUUUUUAAUUAUUUUUUUUCGGUUUUUUAUGGAGAGAAGUCUUUUUUUUUAAGGUUAUAGAGACUUCUUUAUAAAAGGAAAGAAAAAUUGUUUGAGGAACUUUGCCAUUGUGAAGUGUUUCUUAUUUUUAUAAGCUUUUUUAAAUUUUGUUGAUGGGUUAUGUUGAUCUAUGGGGUAUUGUUUUAAAGAUGAAUUGUUUAAAGGUAAAAUUUUUAUUAUUUGUUUUUGUCUGCAAAUUAUUUUAAUCUCUGGGAAGAGAGGUUCUUUUUUUUUUAAAGUAUAGGAGUAUUUUCCUCUCUUUGUAAGUUUAAACUUUUUAUGGGAUUAGAGUUAUUUUAAUAUUUGUUUAUUUUAGUAUGGAGGUUUUUAUUUCAUAUUAUUUGAAUACUUUCAUUUUUUAUAGUUUCAUGUGUUAUAGGAAAAAAGGGGCAUUUUCUUCACAGUUUAUCAGAGGAUUUCAGUUUUUAAAUUAAGGUAUUUUCCCAUUUUUAUUGGGGAUUUAACUUCCUUACUGAUUUUGAUGGGUUUUUUUAAUAUGCUUGCAUCUUGUGGUUUUUUUACACGAGGGUGAUUGAAGGAUGGAAUGGGUUAACAUUUUGUUUUGGGUCCAUUUGUUUUGCUGAUAGCUUGUGGCAGGAAGGCGCGGCUGGGACAGUGUCCGGUUUGGUUUCCGUGGUUUGUUUCUCCUUUUCCCGUGUUAGAUUCCCGCUCCAGGGCUCCUCUGCGCUCUGCCGCUGCAGGGUUUGUGCUCUCAGCCCGCUGCGGGAGGGAUUUUUUGGGAACAGCCCCGGCCCGCUCUGCUUUUGGCUCUGCAGCCUCCCCCGCCCUCCUGCCCGGCAGCUGCUGGCCCGGCCCGGCCCGAGUGGGGCUGAUGCGGGCCCGGCCCGGGACAAGGGGCUCGGCCCGGGACAGGGGGCUCAGCCCGGGACAAGGGGCUUAUCCCGGGACAAGGGGCUUAUCCCGGGCCAGCGCUGCCCGGCCCGGCCGGGCUGAGCCGGGGGCUGCGGCCGGGGUCGCCACCUCCUCGCCGGCUGCAGAAGAAGGAGCAGGUUCCUGGGGUUUUCCUCUUUGAUUUAACACG